rnacentral:rRNA from 1 species
AUUGAACGCUGGCGGCAGGCUUAACACAUGCAAGUCGAGCGAGCGGAGGACGGGUGUGUAAUGUCUGGGACACUGCCCGUUGGAGGGGGAUAACUACUGGAAACGGUAGCUAUUACCGCAUACCAUCAGUUUUGCCUAGAUGGGAUUAGCUAGUGGGUGGGGUAAUGGCCCACCUAGGCGACGAUCACUAGCUGGUCGGAGAGGAUGACCGCCCAAACGGGAACUGGGACACGGUCCAAGUUCCUAGGGAGGGAGGCAGAGGGGAAUAUUGGACAAUGGGCGCAAGCCUGAUGCAGACAGGCCGGGUGUGUGAAGAAGGCCUUCGGGUUGUAAAGCACUUUCAGCGAGGAGGCGUUACUCGCAGAAGAAGCACCGGCUAACUCCGUGCCAGCAGCCGCGGUAAUUC